ACGAACUGGGCGCAGCCUGAUCCAGCCAUGCCGCGUGAGUGAUGAAGGCCCUAGGGUUGUAAAGCUCUUUCACCGGUGAAGAUAAUGACGGUAACCGGAGAAGAAGCCCCGGCUAACUUCGUGCCAGCAGCCGCGGUAAAUGAUACAUGCCCCCCGCCGCUAUAAUAA
rnacentral:rRNA from 1 species